UGGUUGAUCCUGCCAGUAGUCAUAUGCUUGUCUCAAAGAUUAAGCCAUGCAUGUCUAAGUAUAACUACUAGCAUUAGAAGACUGCGGAUGGCUCAUUAAAUCAGUUAUUGUCAAUUUGAAGUGCUUACUACUCGGAUAACCGAGGAAACGCUUGGGCUAAUACGUGCAAUACACACCCGACUUCGGAAGGGUUGUAUUCACUGGUCGUUUAAACCAACCAGGGCUUGCUCUGUUGGAUGAAACACAGUGACUUGAAAAUGCAACGGAUCGCAUAGCCUUGCGCUAGCGAUGCUUCAUUUGAAUUUCUGAUCCAUCAACCUUAGAUUGUAGGACAGUGGCCUACAAUGGUUUUGACGGGUAACGGGGAAUAAGGGUUCGAUUCCGGAGAGGGGGCAUUAGAGUUGGCCACCACUUCCAAGGAAGGCAGCAGGCGCGAAAAUUACCCAAUGUUAAUUCAACGAGGUAGUGACAAGAAAUAACGAUACAGGUCGCUACAUAAGGCUUGUAAUCGGAAUGAACAAUAGUUAAACCUCUUAAUGAGUACCAAUUGGAGGACAAGUCUGGUGCCAGCACCCGCGGUAAUUCCAGCUCCAAUAGCUUAUGCUAAAGUUGUUGCAGUUGAAAAGCUCGUAGUCGAAAUACUGGUUGAGACAUGCUGGGUCUGCCACAGGUUGGUUGCACUCGGCAAGUCUCACCAACCUUGCUGUGACUUGGUGGUAUCGCUUAGGUGCGAUUCAUCGUUGGUUGCAGCAUCAAUUACCUUGAAUAAAGUAAAGUGCUCAAGGCAGGCAGCAAAGCCAUUGAAUAUGUUAGCAUGGGAUAACAAAAUAGGACACUCGUCCUGUUUGUUGGUCAUCGGGACAUGUGUAAUGAUUAAUAGAAACUGUUUGGGGUGUCUGAAUUCAGGCGGGAGAGGUGAAAUUCUGUGAUCGUCUGAAGUCAAACUAAAGCGAAAGCAUUCACCAAGGAUACUUUCAUUGAUCAAGAACGAAAGUCAGGGGAUCGAAGAUGAUUAGAUACCGUCGUAGUCCUGACUGUAAAUGAUACCAACUGGAGAUUGGCUUAGCGACAUAAAGGCCUUCUUCAGCAUCCCCCGGGAAACCAUUAAGUUUUUGGGUUCUGGGGGGAGUAUGUUCGCAAGUCUGAAACUUAAAGGAAUUGACGGAAAGGCACACAAGGAGUGGAGCCUGCGGCUUAAUUUGACCCAACACGGGAAAACUUAUCGGGUCCGGACAUAGCGAUGAUUGACAGAUUGAUAGUUCUUUCUUGAUUCUAUGGGUAGUGGUGCAUGGCCGUACUUAGUUCGUGGAUUGAUCUGUCUGGUUUAUUCCGAUAACGAACGAGACCAAGGCUUGCUAAAUAGACGCUGGAUAGGCCU
rnacentral:rRNA from 1 species